CACGUAGGGCGCAAGCGUUGUCCGGAAUUAUUGGGCGUAAAGAGCUCGUAGGCGGUCUGUUGCGUCCGCUGUGAAAACUCGGGGCUUAACCCCGAGCCUGCAGUGGAUACGGGCAGACUAGAGGUAGGUAGGGGAGAAUGGAAUUCCCGGUGUAGCGGUGAAAUGCGCAGAUAUCGGGAGGAACACCGGUGGCGAAGGCGGUUCUCUGGGCAGGAACUGACACUGAGACGCGAAAGCGUGGGGAGCAAACAGG
rnacentral:rRNA from 1 species